ACUUGCUUCGGCAGCGUAUGUACUAAAAUUGUAAUGAGAUGCAGAAAAUUAGCAGGGCCCUUGUGCAAGAGUGACAUGCAAAUUUAUGAAGUUUUUCAUAUUUAA
rnacentral:snRNA from 1 species